CAAUAGCGUAUAUUAAAGUUGUUGCAGUUAAAAAGCUCGUAGUUGGACUUGUGGCGUACGGUGUGUUCCGGGCACUUGUUGUCUGAGUAACCUGCUGUUGCCAUCCUUGGGUGGAACCUGUGUGGCAUUAGGUUGUCGUGCAGGGGAUGCCCAUCAUUUACUGUGAAAAAAUUAGAGUGUUCAAAGCAGGCUUAUGCCGUUGAAUAUAUUAGCAUGGAAUAAUGAGAUAGGACUUUUUUGCUAUUUUGUUGGUUUGCGCAAAGAGGUAAUGAUUAAUAGGGACAGUUGGGGGUAUUCGUAUCCCAUUGUCAGAGGUGAAAUUCUUGGAUUUUUGGAAGACGAACUACUGCGAAAGCAUUUACCAAGGAUGUUUUCAUUAA
rnacentral:rRNA from 1 species